AGUAUUCGGUGGUGUCCUCGGGCAGCACGAAGUCCAUCCGGUGGAGCUCCUCCGUGGCCUUGCUCGGCGACAGCGGCUGGAGCAGGGAUGGGGAAACUGAGACUCAGAAAGAUGGCAAGACUUUCCCCAAAGGAUAUUAGGAAGGCGACCGAAUCAGGACCUGAAGUGGCUGCUUACUGAGAGCUGGCUGAGUGCCAGGCGCGGCACUGGCCCUGGGAGCACAGCAAAUCAGGACCACAAGAGCCCCCACCUCAUGGAGCCGGCGCAGGGCGAGCGGGGCCCGGGGCUGGGGCAACUAAAAUGAGCCAAAUCAUACGGUAUGCUAAAAAGACGUGCUCUGGAGAAAAAACGGUAAAGGCUAAGAGCAGGCAGGUUCAGAGGUAAUCAGGUGGCCAGAGCGGGCCUUAAAAAGAGUGAGGCCAGAAGACAAGGGAGGAAGGGCAGCGGAACAGAAUGUUGGAGUGCGGCUUUCACGGGAGGAUGCUAAGCGUCCGGGCUCAGCUGGGCUGCUCUGCUGAGACCGAUGGUCACCGGAACAGAGCAGGGAGGGUGGUGAGGAGGCCGCAGCACUGUCUGGGUGAGAGGUGGGGUGCAGGCAGCAGUCAGACCUGGCGUGAAGUGUGAGCAAGGAGUCACCCUCGUUGACUCCAGGACCUGCAGGAUGGACCCGCCUUUGACUGGGGCGGAAGUCAUCCCUCAACCGCUUCCAUGGAGAUGGAAAAUGGCAGAGCUGGGCUGGAGGCAGCUCUUGUCUCUGCAGGGUCCUCUCUAAGUGCCUUGCCCACUUCAAAUGAAGACAUCAAAUCAGAGAGACCAAUCCAGAGCCCCAUCCCACCCUGUCCCUUCUUCCCAGCGCUGAGCCCAUCCCCCCAUCCAUCUGUCUCCUUGUCUCUGGACACGAGCCCCCAGGGGCAGGGAGCUGUCAUGGAGCGAGCUUCAACCAGAGCCGCUACCUGGGUGCGCACAGAGCCUAGAACCAGAUAGCCCAGCUCAAACUUCUGGCUCUGCCAUUUCCUAUCUGCGUGGCCUUCGGGCAGGUGAAAGUAACUUUCCUUCUUUGGCUCAUCUAGAAAAUGAGGGUUCAAUAAUAACCCAUGUGAAGCUCCUAGCACACCAUAAGAAGCCAAUAAGCAUUAGCUCUUCUUAGUGCUGCUGUUAUCCCCCCGCCUGGAAGAGUAGGGAGGGCCUUCAGCUGG